rnacentral:rRNA from 1 species
UACGGAGGGUGCAAGCGUUAAUCGGAAUUACUGGGCGUAAAGCGCACGUAGGUGGUUUGUUAAGCCAGCUGUGAAAUCCCCGGGCUCAACCUGGGAAUUGCAGUCGAGACUGUUCGGCUAGAGUGUGGGAGAGGGUGGUGGAAUUCCGCGUGUAGCAGUGAAAUGCGUAGAUAUGCGGAGGAACACCGAUGGCGAAGGCAAUCCCCUGGACCUGUACUGACGCUCAUGCACGAAAGCGUGGGGAGCAAACAGG